UUGCGAUUAGUGUUGCUAUGGUUAUUGCGAAAGUGGCUUGGAGCCGAGGUUUUGUUUGCCGGUGAUUUCGAGCUGAGGCGAAAAGGACUCUGUGAGACGUUUGGGUUAUGGAAUUUGCGUUUUGAGGAUAUGGAUGCAGAAGUCACGAAGAGUUUAUUU